ACAAGUACUGAUGAACACAGACACAUCAAGCUGUCAAGACUGUAAUGCUCCAGGAUUCCACACAUCCAGUACUUCAGCUACUGUUCAGCCUUACGUAUCAGCUAAGUGGCAAGAAGAACACGGACUCAGAAGAGUAGGACGUUGAAGAUUAUGCAAAACCAUUAUUUAUUUCCAUUGCUUCUAUCCAUCCUAGACUCAAGUGCCUUCAAAUUAAAGGUCGCGGAAAGUCCUGUUGAGAUUCUCAGUGAUGCUCAGGUUGGUUGGACUAUAGCUCUACACCCAUGACCCAUGACAAAUGUUCUCGUACACGAGCAAUCCAAACCAAUGCCAGAGAAUCGAGAACCUCUGGACAGAAACUCCUAAACAACAUCCAAAGGACUUUCCCCAGCCAGCACUGCUCUGACUUCAGAAAAGUCCCGAUGCAGAAAGAUCGAUGUUCAUCUCCUUUUUAUGGGAAUUCUGUGAUCACGUGCAUAACUCAGAAGGAAACAGAACACCUGGUAAACUUUUUUUUAGGCAAAAGAAAGGCAAACCCCUAGGACACAUACCCAGGUAUAAGAGUCGGUCUAAAGAGAACAAUAUUGUUUCAACAUUGCCGACAGAGACCUGGAGAUGGAAUGUGGUCUUCAUGGACACCAAGACACAGAGACCCUGGGAAAGAGAACUGCAUGGUACGAGGAGUACUAUGCUGCUCCCUGCAACUUGGGAUUGAAUAAGGCCACAUAACAGCCGUCCAGAAGACGGAUCACAACUGUGGUCAUAACAACGAACCAGAAAACAAUACAAGAAUAGGCCUCCUGGUCUGAAGCUACCCACCUCUGGAGCAAGAUAACCUGGCUCGAGAGGGUGGAGACUGGCGGAAGUCCAUGGACCAGAGGAGGAGCAAGGUGUGUUGCUUGGCAUAAAAAGAUGCCUUCUUAGCAACUGAACUUUGGAGAUCUUCCCCACCAAGGAUCACAAUUGGAAGGACUGGCAGGACGCUGCCUGGACUUGGGACCAUAGGGACGCCUUGGGCCCGUGGUGGUAGCUAUAAUCCUCUUUUCUUUUCUUUUUACUUUACUUUUUAUUCACUUUCUGUCUUUCUACCUAUCGCACGCCGCUUUACGGGCAAACAAUAAAAUUGCGCUGUUUGAUUGAAGCAUAA